UACAGAGGGUGCAAGCGUUAAUCGGAAUUACUGGGCGUAAAGCGCGCGUAGGCGGUUUAGUAAGUCGGUUGUGAAAGCCCUGGGCUCAACCUGGGAAUUGCAGUCGAUACUGUUAAGCUAGAGUAUGGUAGAGGGAAGUGGAAUUCCAGGUGUAGCGGUGAAAUGCGUAGAUAUCUGGAGGAACAUCAGUGGCGAAGGCGGCUUCCUGGACCAAUACUGACGCUGAGGCGCGAAAGCGUGGGGAGCAAACAGG
rnacentral:rRNA from 1 species